CAGCCACAUCGCAUUGACACACCAGUUCCUGUAGGAUCACCAAAGUUAAGCAACAUCAGGCCUGGUCAGUACCUCGUUGGGUGACCACUUUGGAAAUACCAGGUGCUGUAAG